UACAGAGGUGGCAAGCGUUGUUCGGAAUUACUGGGCGUAAAGGGCGCGUAGGCGGUCAGGUCAGUCCCGUGUGAAAUCCCUCGGCUUAACCGGGGAACUGCAUCUGAUACUGGAUGGCUUGAGUUCGGGAGAGGGAUGCGGAAUUCCAGGUGUAGCGGUGAAAUGCGUAGAUAUCUGGAGGAACACCGGUGGCGAAGGCGGCAUCCUGGACCGACACUGACGCUGAGGAGCGAAAGCCAGGGGAGCAAACGGG
rnacentral:rRNA from 1 species